ensembl:lncRNA
AGGAGAUUAGGUCCAGAGGGCAAUAUGCACGAUGUGGGGUAAAGCAGAGAUGAUUCUCAGGUUUCUGGGUUGGAUGAGGGGUCAGGAAGCGAAGUAGCCAGGGGAAGGAGCAGGGUGGAGAAGGAGAUGGGAAGAUGCUGAGCUGAGCUGUGUCUGUGUUGAAGGCACCAGAGGCUGGUGUGAGGCAGUGGGACAUGGGGGAAUGGUACAUUGGGACAUUGGUGUGCAGAGCUCGGAGUUGUGCUGGAUGUGGAGGUCUGGGCUUCAGUGUUAUCUUGGAGUCACGAAGCUGAAGGAGAAAGAAAGUCUGGGAAAGGAGUCCAGCUCCAUGGCUGUGAAAGGGGGGCCAUGUUUCCUGCAGAAACUGGAGCAGAAAGCAGGGUAAAGGCAGAUAUAAAGAUGGAAAGGCUGCAAGAAGAGAGAGAGCCUCAGGGAUUCAGACUGAUCAUGGAUCCAUAUAAACAAAACGUGCCCCUAAGUGUGCAGAGAUGGUGCUUGAUGGAGUCUGGAAGGCCUUCACAUCCACAGACGUGUCUCAUGUUCACAACAGAAACUUGCUCUUCCC